rnacentral:rRNA from 1 species
UAGGGAAUCUUCGGCAAUGGACGAAAGUCUGACCGAGCAACGCCGCGUGAGUGAAGAAGGUUUUCGGAUCGUAAAACUCUGUUGUUAGAGAAGAACAAGGACGUUAGUAACUUAACGUCCCCUGACGGUAUCUAACCAGAAAGCCACGGCUAACUACGUGCCAGCAGCCGCGGUAAUACGUAGGUGGCAAGCGUUGUCCGGAUUUAUUGGGCGUAAAGCGAGCGCAGGCGGUUUCUUAAGUCUGAUGUGAAAGCCCCCGGCUCAACCGGGGAGAGUCAUUGGAAAAUGGGAGACUUGGGUGCAGAAGAGGAGAGUGGAAUUCCAUGGGUAGCGGUGAAAUGCGUAGAUAUAUGGAGGAACACCAGUGGCGAAGGCGGCUCACUAGACUGUAACUGACGCUGAGGCUCGAAAGCGUGGGGAGCAAACAGG